rnacentral:rRNA from 1 species
UACGGAGGGUGCAAGCGUUGUCCGGAAUCACUGGGCGUAAAGGACGCGUAGGCGGCUCAUGAAGGCUGUGGUGAAAGUCUGGGGCUCAACCUCGGAUCGGCCGUGGCGACUCGUGGGCUGGAGCACUGUAGAGGCGGGUGGAAUUCCGGGUGUAGCGGUGGAAUGCGUAGAGAUCCGGAAGAACACCAGUGGCGAAGGCGGCCCGCUGGGCAGUGGCUGACGCUGAAGCGCGACAGCGUGGGGAGCAAACAGG